rnacentral:lncRNA from 1 species
GACAGCCUCUGGUCGCGGCACUCUUACCAUUCUUACGCUACCGGAGAGGGAUAGCGUGGCUUCUUUACUUCUAGGCAGCAGUGAAGAGGAGCUCGCCCUCAGACCAAAUUCCUGCCCUGGAUUUAAGGCUUAAACCUGAAAAAUGAGACCUAGAAUGAAGUAUUCGAACUCCAAGAUUUCCCCGGCAAAGUGCGACAGCACAUCAGGCAGAGCCCUGGUCCCGCCUUGCAAAAUCACAAGAUCCCAACAGAAGACCAAAGAUAUCUGCCAUGUCUACUGCAUGAGGCUCCGUUCUGGCCUCACCAUAAGAAAGGAGACCUGUUAUUUUGGAAAAGAACCCGCCAAAAGAUAUUCACUAAAAUCAGGUAGCAAGCAUGAAGGGAGGCUCUCUACCUGUUUACCAGAUUCUAGGAAGAGAUCCCUGCUUGGCAGUAUCCAAGCGUUUGCUGCAUCAGUUGACACACUGAGUAUCCAAGGAACUUCACUGCUAACAGAAUCUUGUGCCCUGAGCACAUACAACGACCAAUCUGUUAGUUUUGUUUUGGAGAAUGGAUGUUACGUGAUCAAUGUUGAAGAUUGUGGGAAAAACCAAGAAAAAG